CAUCAGCAUCCACUAGAAAAGCUUAGGAAGAAGAAGGAGCACUAAGAUGCACCAGCAUCCAAUGGGAAAGCUUGGAAAAAGGGACAGGACACAAUAAGAUGCACCAGCAUCCAAUGGGAAAGCUUGGAAAAAGGGACAGGACACAAUAAGUUUUUCCCAGGCAUGCCCCAAUAUGCCCUCGCAGGACCAACCCACCAUUACAGCGGCCCUCCCUUCAUUGGCUCUAAAACCACGGAAGAGGCGGGGAUCCUGGCAGUGACACAGCUUCCGCAUUGACUACAUUUCCGCUCUCUAACAGGGGAGGAGGGACUUCAGCUGAUGACGCAGCUUCCAAUGAUGAUGCACUUUCUGGUUAAGGAGGGACUUCUGGUGAUGAUGUGGCAGCUUCUGAUUGGACAAUACCACCUGUCAAAUCAGUUUGACGAAAGGCGGUUACGCCCCUGUCAUAAAUCAUGUCAUCAGUAGGGUCAUAAAUCACUUUUGACAAUGUGAUGCUUAUAUUCUCAUCUAUCUGUGUUACUGAAUU